rnacentral:sRNA from 2 species
GCUUGAACACCGCCGAGCUUCUCGGAGUCUCUCCGGGAGGGCGGGGGAACCACUGGGGUGGCGCAGUUGCCGCCUCGGGGCGAGUCGCGGCGACCGCCGCGUAGCGCCAGUCCUUCGGCGCGAGCCCGUCAGCUAACCCCGUAGGUAGUGAAGGAUGAACCG